rnacentral:rRNA from 1 species
UACAGAGGUCCCGAGCGUUGUUCGGAUUUACUGGGCGUAAAGCGUGUGUAGGCGGCUUGGCAAGUUGGAUGUGAAAGCCCACGGCUCAACCGUGGAAGCGCACCCAAAACUGCUUCGCUCGAGUCUCGGAGAGGAAGGUGGAAUGCUUGGUGUAGAGGUGAAAUUCGUAGAUAUCAAGCAGAACACCUGCGGCGAAGGCGGCCUUCUGGACGAUGACUGACGCUGAGACGCGAAAGCGUGGGUAGCAAACAGG